CUCUUCCCGUGUGGAACCCAGGGUUCAAAUGGCUGAGCGGGAAGCGCUCUAGUAGGGACUCUGGCAACUCUGUUUUCUCCUUCUCUUCCUUUUCACCCAAUAAUACCCUGUCUUACUCAUUAUUUCAAAUUGUCUAAGAGCCUGAAUUUUCGUGGCUCUAGGGCAAAGAACCCCGUCUUUAACUGAACUAAGGAAAAGUCCUACAACAUUUUUGGCACGCAACGUGGGAGCUCGAGAAGCGAAAAUGUUUUACUAAGCCAGACCCCCUGUCGGCCCUCCCGCGCACUCCUUUCCCCCAGCAAACUGUCACCAGUCCAUGUUAUAUCACUGCCCAUAUGCUGGACACUGGAGGUCACAAAAUCUCCUAAAACUUUUGGCAACAAGAAACCUAGAGUUUGUUUGAACUAAUCUAUGUCUCCUCAUUUAAGGAAUACAUCUACUGAAGCAGUCUACUCCUGCCACCAAAGUAUAAAAGCUGGACAAACAACAUAACGGAAAUCAUUUGAAGGCAUUUGAAAGUGACCACCAUUCAUAGUUCUUUAAGGGUUAUAAACCCUGAGAGAUAAAAGGAAUCAAUAGAACCCAUACUUAUGGCAACAUUUCUCCUUUAGAGUAUUUUCAGCUUACUGUGUGGAAUAGAUUCAGAGAAGAAAGCCAAAGUCUCCCUGGGCUGAGGAAACAUUGGAUUUUCAGUACAGUCACAGCAGCUGUGAUUUCAGGGGACAAAAAUCUCAAGGAAUGUAUAUAACUGAACCCCAAAAUCUGUAUUCCAUUUUUUUUUAGACUUUUUCAACUCUGAAGCUGUACAGGGAAAGCUCUAAGAAGCCCAAC
rnacentral:lncRNA from 1 species